UACGUAGGCAGCGAGCGUUGUUCGGAGUUACUGGGCGUAAAGGGUGUGUAGGCGGUUCUUUAAGUUUGGUGUGAAAUCUCCCGGCUCAACUGGGAGGGUGCGCCGAAUACUGAAUGACUUCGAGUGCGGGAGAGGAAAGUGGAAUUCCUGGUGUAGCGGUGAAAUGCGUAGAUAUCAGGAAGAACACCUAUGGCGAAGGCAGCUCUCUGGGACGGUACUGACGCUGAGACGCGAAAGCGUGGGGAGCGAACAGG
rnacentral:rRNA from 1 species